rnacentral:rRNA from 1 species
AUUGAACGCUGGCGGCAUGCCUUACACAUGCAAGUCGAACGGUAACGCGGGGCAACCUGGCGACGAGUGGCGAACGGGUGAGUAAUGCAUCGGAACGUGCCCAGUAGUGGGGGAUAACUGCUCGAAAGAGCAGCUAAUACCGCAUACGACCUGAGGGUUAAAGCGGGGGAUCGCAAGACCUCGCGCUAUUGGAGCGGCCGAUGUCAGAUUAGGUAGUUGGUGGGGUAAAGGCCCACCAAGCCAACGAUCUGUAGCUGGUCUGAGAGGACGACCAGCCACACUGGGACUGAGACACGGCCCAGACUCCUACGGGAGGCAGCAGUGGGGAAUUUUGGACAAUGGACGCAAGUCUGAUCCAGCCAUGCCGCGUGCGGGAAGAAGGCCUUCGGGUUGUAAACCGCUUUUGUCAGGGAAGAAACGCUCUGGGUUAAUACCUCGGGGUAAUGACGGUACCUGAAGAAUAAGCACCGGCUAACUACGUGCCAGCCGCCGCAGUAAGAC